rnacentral:lncRNA from 10 species
AUCAAAGUAUGUCAUGGACAGGUUAAGUUUCCCAACACCUCGGGGGAGCAGUAUGGUGAAAGCAAUAUGCCAGAGAUCUACAUUCCCUGGUGACAGUCCCUAUUGGAUGGAAACACCAAAGCACAGAGUCAAGCGACUAAGUUCAUUCGCCUGGAAAAGAACUGCGCGUUUCCAGAGCUCUCACUCAUGGUCACCAUACUGCACUGCCUUUUCAUGAAGGGUGUAAAUACACGCCAUGAUUUGACUCCCAGCAUGACAAAACCAGACUUUUCCUGUUACAGCUCCCAUUUCCACA